AGUCAUAACGGAACACGAUAGUUUAAAAUGGCUUAUGAGGCAGACAGACUUGAAUGGCAGACUAGCUAGAUGGGCACUAAAACUGCAGCAUUUUAAUUUUGAAAUAGAACACAGAAAAGGAAGUCCCAGACGCCCUUUCUCGACUACCGACUGAAGAGAUAAGCGAAAUAGAAGUGGUGUUGCCUCAAGUCGACCUACAAUCGCCUCACUUCUGGUCCAAUAGCUAUACCAAGUUAAAAGAUACAAUUACAGAGAAUCAAAGCCGUUUGCCAGACUUGAAAAUUGUAGAUCGUUACAUUUACAGGCGAACUCAGUUUUACCAAGGAGACUCAGUGUCAGAGUCAAACUGCUGGAAACUUUGGGUACCAUCAGAAUUGACACAGUCUGUAUUGUAUAAUGCACACGCGCCUCCUCAUAGUUCUCAUGGUGGCAUCGGAAAAACGUUGGAAAAGCUUCGUCGAAAUCUUUUUUGGCCAAAUAUGAUAAAAGACGUCAAAGAAUUUAUUGCGAGAUGUGAAGUUUGCAAACAAGUGAAAGCCCCAAACAUAACUCUCAAGCCUCCAAUGGGAAAUCCUGUAGUCUCUGAGCGACCAUUCCAACGGCUCUAUAUGGAUUUCAUAGGACUUUACCCUCGAUCAAAGCAGGGAAAUAUAGGAGUAUUUGUUGUUUUGGACCACCUAACAAAGUUUCAUUUUUUUGAAGCCGUUGAAGAAAUUCACUGCAGACCUUAUUAUAGAAUUCUUAAAAACAAAUAUAUUCCAUGUAUUCGGUAUACCUGAAGUUAUAGUAACUGAUAACGGAAGCCAGUUCAAGUCGAAUAUAUUUCAGGCAUUCAUGCAGAAGUAUGGGAUAAAGCAUAUGUUUACUGCAAUUUACAGUCCACAGGCUAAUGCCUCAUAGCGCCUUAAUAGAUCAAUUAUAUCUGGUAUCAGGGCUUAUCUAGGGAAAGACCAACGGCUAUGGGACGAUAAGCUCCGUGAGAUAUCCUUCGCCUUGAGAUCUUCACAUCAUGCCGCAAUAGGAUUUUCACCAUAUUUUGCGUUGUUUGGUAUUCAUAUGAUAACGCACGCAGACAACUAUGAAUUGCUGAGGAGGAUAGAAAUGCUUAAAGAGGUCGAGAAUAUUUUGACUACAGACAAACUGCAAAUUGUUAGAAACAAGAUCAUGGAAAACAUCAGUAAGGCAUAUCAAACCAAUAAGAGAACGUACGAUUUGCGCACAAGAUACGUUACGUUCGAACUCGGCCAACACGUCUAUAGACGAAACUUUGCCCAAAGUAACAAGAUCAAGGCAUUUAAUGCAAAAUUAGCUCCUAAAUUCUUGAAGGCAACUGUAGUUCGAAAGUUUGGUAACCACUGUUAUGAAUUAGAAGAAGAUGGUCAACAGAUAGGAAAGUUCCAUGCCAAAGACCUACAAAAGUGCGUAACUUAAAAGAUGACCGUUUUCCAGCUUAUUUUGAACAAGUAGAACAGCUUAAAAAUAACCUGUGGUGUGACGGCCCAUAUUUGGAUGGACUUAUUUGUGUGCACAGAGCUGUAGCUUAUCUGCAUGCAAGGGAAUAAACGGGAAUAAAGCGAAAGCUUUUGACGAGAGAGCGAGCUUUGGGUUAUCUUGGUGGGUUAUCUAGCCCUUGUGCUUUAGAAUGGGAUGAGGAAACAAAAUCAAAGCUCAAGCGCUGGAUCAUUCGAUCCAUGGAACUAAAUUGUGGAAGGUCAGUUUGGUGGUACGCCGAGAUAAAAGAAAAGAAAAGAAUAAAAGGUUAUACACGUGUCUGAAAAAAAAAGAAAAAUUGAAAUCAAUAAAUCGUCGAAAGUAGGGUGCACAUGCCAAGCUGCCCCAAAAAUUAAGAUCAGUGUGCCGAAAAGCCGAAAAAUCAGUGAUUCUCCAAAGAUAAACCCGGUUUCAAGCCCCAAAAGGGGUCUGAGCUUUGCCAGUCGAUCUCGGUUUCUCCAGUGUAAUUUAAUAUUGACGAAAGUUAUCCAACGGAGGUCAAACUUCUGCCGCACAACGAAAAUUUGCGAUCAACCUUAUUUUUGACCUUGGCAGAGGACAUACAGUUGCCUCUGAAAUUAUAUGUCGUGGCCUGGAUAGGCACAGACAUAUCCAUAUCGGAUGUCUUCAAGGAAAAUGAUUGACACACACACACACACACACUGAAUUCAACCGUAGUUACUAUUGCUAUUAUUUUAAUUUUUUUUUGCAUUUAAAUUUUGUACAUUAUAAUCUAAUCUAGGACACAUCAAUGCAUGCAGGACUGUUGCAGCGAUGGAAAACCAAACUUGCUGUAACUGUAGAUAAAUAAGAUGUUAUGAAGAUUUGAGGUGAUGCUGAGGAUGGUUGUUAGUUGGAGUGGAGUUAAAAUAUGAAAAUACACUGAAGAUUGAUCAACAUGAAA